rnacentral:rRNA from 1 species
UGCAGUCGAGCGGACCGACGGGAGCUUGCUCCCUUAGGUCAGCGGCGGACGGGUGAGUAACACGUGGGUAACCUGCCUGUAAGACUGGGAUAACUCCGGGAAACCGGGGCUAAUACCGGAUGCUUGAUUGAACCGCAUGGUUCAAUCAUAAAAGGUGGCUUUUAGCUACCACUUACAGAUGGACCCGCGGCGCAUUAGCUAGUUGGUGAGGUAACGGCUCACCAAGGCGACGAUGCGUAGCCGACCUGAGAGGGUGAUCGGCCACACUGGGACUGAGACACGGCCCAGACUCCUACGGGAGGCAGCAGUAGGGAAUCUUCCGCAAUGGACGAAAGUCUGACGGAGCAACGCCGCGUGAGUGAUGAAGGUUUUCGGAUCGUAAAACUCUGUUGUUAGGGAAGAACAAGUACCGUUCGAAUAGGGCGGCACCUUGACGGUACCUAACCAGAAAGCCACGGCUAACUACGUGCC